UUUGUUUUCCGAGACAGGGUUUCUCUGUGUAACUCACUCUAUAGACCAGGCUGGCCUUGAACUCACAGAGAUCCACCUGCCUCUGCCUCCUGAGUGCUGGGGUUAAAGGUGUGCGCCACCACCACCAGGCCGCUUCCAUUCUUGUAAUCAGUAAAUGACAUCUUGCAGGAUACUACUUUCUGUUUACAGUGACAUCAUUUAUUUCAGGAAUAUUGUGUGGCACAUGAACUACUGAAGAAAGUAAGCCCCAUAGAAGCUGCACUUGUUAAAGAUCCUAGCAUGAAGUGUAAAGUCAGAUUCAGAUUUGGUGGUGAAACGUUUCCACCUUUUAUCGUGUUCAAAAUUUUUUUUAAAAAUGAUGGCCAUGGUUACAAGUAUUUCAGUGGGAAAGAUUUACUAAAGCCGUCAAGUAAGGUGAUGUUUCAUGAUGGAUGUUUUAUAUUAAUUUAUAUUAAUAUUGCUUCUUAACAUCU
rnacentral:lncRNA from 1 species